rnacentral:tRNA from 1 species
GAGGGUAUAGCUCAAGUGGUAGAGCGUAUGCUUAGUAUGCACAAGGUCCUGGGUUCAAUCCCUAAGUACCUUCU